AUUGAACGCUGGCGGCAUGCCUUACACAUGCAAGUCGAACGGCAGCACGGGAGCUUGCUCCUGGUGGCGAGUGGCGAACGGGUGAGUAAUACAUCGGAACGUACCCUGAAGUGGGGGAUAACGUAGCGAAAGUUACGCUAAUACCGCAUAUUCUGUGAGCAGGAAAGAGGGGGAUCGCAAGACCUCUUGCUUUAGGAGCGGCCGAUGUCGGAUUAGCUAGUUGGUGAGGUAAAGGCUCACCAAGGCGACGAUCCGUAGCGGGUCUGAGAGGAUGAUCCGCCACACUGGGACUGAGACACGGCCCAGACUCCUACGGAGGCAGCAGUGGGGAAUUUUGGACAAUGGGCGCAAGCCUGAUCCAGCCAUGCCGCGUGAGUGAAGAAGGCCUCGGUGU
rnacentral:rRNA from 1 species